rnacentral:rRNA from 1 species
AACGAACGCUGGCGGCAUGCCUAACACAUGCAAGUCGAACGAGACCUUCGGGUCUAGUGGCGCACGGGUGCGUAACGCGUGGGAACCUGCCCUUAGGUUCGGAAUAACUCCCCGAAAGGGGUGCUAAUACCGGAUAAUGUCUUCGGACCAAAGAUUUAUCGCCUUUGGAUGGGCCCGCGUUGGAUUAGCUAGUUGGUAGGGUAAAAGCCUACCAAGGCGACGAUCCAUAGCUGGUCUGAGAGGAUGAUCAGCCACACUGGGACUGAGACACGGCCCAGACUCCUACGGGAGGCAGCAGUGGGGAAUAUUGGACAAUGGGCGAAAGCCUGAUCCGGCAAUGCCGCGUGAGUGAUGAAGGCCUUAGGGUUGUAAAGCUCUUUUACCCGGGAUGAUAAUGACAGUACCGGGAGAAUAAGCUCCGGCUAACUCCGUGC